AUUGAACGCUGGCGGCAGGCCUAACACAUGCAAGUCGAGCGGAUGAAGGGAGCUUGCUCCUGGAUUCAGCGGCGGACGGGUGAGUAAUGCCUAGGAAUCUGCCUGGUAGUGGGGGAUAACGUCCGGAAACGGGCGCUAAUACCGCAUACGUCCUGAGGGAGAAAGUGGGGGAUCUCCGGACCUCACGCUAUCAGAUGAUCCUAGGUCGGAUUAGCUAGUUGGUGGGGUAAAGGCCUACCAAGGCGACGAUCCGUAACUGGUCUGAGAGGAUGAUCAGUCACACUGGAACUGAGACACGGUCCAGACUCCUACGGGAGGCAGCAGUGGGGAAUAUUGGACAAUGGGCGAAAGCCUGAUCCAGCCAUGCCGCGUGUGUGAAGAAGGUCUUCGGAUUGUAAAGCACUUUAAGUUGGGAGGAAGGGCAGUAAGUUAAUACCUUGCUGUUUUGACGUUACCAACAGAAUAAGCACCGGCUAACUUCGUG
rnacentral:rRNA from 1 species